UGCGGGGUGGAGCAGUCUGGUAGCUCGCCGGGCUCAUAACCCCGAGGGCGUUGGUUCAAAUCCAGCUCCCGCAACCA
rnacentral:tRNA from 1 species